AAUGAGACUGCAGGCACAGGUGCGGCCGGAUUCCCUGUCGCUGUCCCGCGCUGAGUGAAUUUUGCCUCGGAGCUGGUCCGAGGUCGCGCCUGCUCUUUUGUGUGCCCAAGGCAGAUUUCCAGAAGUAGAAAUCUGUCUUCUAACUCUAAGGCCUUGGGAGAUGAAGGAUCCGUGAUUCAAAGGCAGAAAUAGAUGGAGUCUUGCUGUGUUCUCCAGGAUUGAGUACAGUGGCUUAUUCACAGAUGUGAUCAUACUACACUACAGCCUCAAACUCCCGGGGUCAAGCAGUCCUCCUGCUUCAGCCUCCUGAGGAGCUGGGACUACAGGCCCACAUCACCAUGCCCACUAGAUUCACAGUCAUUUUGCUUGUGGAAGGUCUUGCCUCAAUGUUGAUAGGUGCUGACUGAUCAGGGUCAGGUUGCUGACUGAUCAGAAUGGUAGUUUCUGAAUGUUGGGAAUGGCUAUGGCAAUUUCUUAAAAUAAGACAACAAUGAAGUUUGCUGCAUUGAUUGACUCCCUUUCACAAAGGAUUUCUCCAUAUCAUGCAAUGCUGUUUGAUAGCAUUUUACCCAUAGUAGAACUUCUUUCAAAAUUGGAGUCAAUUCUCUCAAACCUUGUCUCUGCUUGGUCAACUAAGUUUAUGCACUAUUCCACAUCCUUUGUUGUCAUUUCAACAAUAUUUACAGAGUCUUCACCAUGAAUAGAUUCCUUUUCAAACAACCACUUUCUUUGCUCAGCCAUAAGAAGCAACUCUUCACCCAUUCAAGUUUUAUCAUGAGAUUGCAGCAAUUCAGUCACAUCAAAUUCCACUUCUAAUUCUAGUUGUUUUUCUAUUUCCACCACAUCUGCAGGUACUUUCUCCACAGAAAUUUCAAACCUCUCAAAGUCAUCCGUGAGGGUUGGAAUCAACUUCCAAAUUUCUGUGAAUGUUGAUAUUUUGACCUCCUCCUAAUCACAAAUGUUCUUAAUGGCAUCUAGAAUGGUGAAUCUUUUCCAGAAGGUUUUCUAUGUGCUUUGCCCAGUUCCAUCAGAAGAAUCACUGUCUGUGGUAGCUCUAGCCUUAUUAAAUGUAUAUUUUAAAUAAUAACACCUAAAAAUCAAAAUGACUCCUUGAUCCAUGGGCUGUAGAAUAGACAUUGUGUUAGCAGUCAUGAAAACAAGAUUAAUCUCCUCAUAUAGCACCAUUAUAGCUCUUGGGUGACCACGUGCAUUGUCAAUGACCAGUAAUAUUUUGAAAGGACACCUUUUUUUUUGAGCAGUAGGUCUCAACAGUGGACUUAAAAUAUUCAGAAAGCUGUGUUGUAAACAGAUGUGCUGCCAGCUAGGUAUCGUUGUUCCAUUUAUAGAGCACUGGUAGAGCAGAUUUAGCAUAAUUUGUCAGGACCCUAGGAUUUUUGGAAUGGUAAAUGGGCACUGGCUUCAACUUCAAGUAACCAACUGCAUUAACUCCUAACAAGAAGAGUCAGCCUGUCCUUGAAAGUAUGAAAACAGGCAUGGACUUCUCCUCUCUAGCUAUGAAAGUCUUAGAUGGCAUCUUCUUCCAAUAGAAGUUGUUUCAUGUACAUUGAAAAUCUGUUGUUUGGUGUAGCCACCCUCUUCGAUGAUCUUAGCUAGAUCUUCUGGAUAACUUGCUACAGUUUCUACAUCAGCACUUGUUGCCUUACCUUACACUUUCAUGUUAAGGAGAUAGCUUCUUUCCUUAAACCACAGGAACGAACCUCUGCUAUCUUCUAGAUUUUCUUGGGCAACUUCCUUACUUCUUUCAGCUUUCAUAGAACUGAAUAGUGUUAGGAUCUUGCUCUGGGUUAGGUUUUGGCUUAAGGGAAUGUGGUAGCUGGUUUGAUUUAUUUAGACCACUAAAACUUUCUUCAUAUCAGCAUUAAGGCUGGUUUGCUUUAUUAUCAUUUAUGUGUUCACUGGAGUAGCACUUUAAAUUUCCUCCAAGCUUGUUUGCUUUUCACUCACAGUGUGGCUGUUUGGUGCCAAGAGGCCUAGCUUCCCAGUCUUGGCUUUCAACAUGCCUUCCUCACUAAGCAUAGUCAUUUCUAGCUAUUUAUUUAAAGUUAGAGAUGUGCAACUCUUCUUUCACUUGAACACUUAGAGGCUAUUGUAGGGUUAUUACUUGGCUUAAUUGCAAUAUUGUUGUGUCUGGAGGAAUAGAGAGGCCUGGGGACACAAAGAGAAAUGGGGAACAGCUGGUCACUGGAGCAGUGAGAACACACGCAACAUUUAUUGAUUAAAUUCGCUGUUUUAUGGGCUCGGUUCAUGGUGCUCCAAAACAAUUAUAAUAGUAACAUCAAACAUCACUGUUCACAGGUCACCAUAACAGAUAUAAUGAUAAUGAUAAUAAUAAUAAUGUUUGAAAUAUUGCAAGAAUUACCAAAAUGUGACUCAGAGAAACAAUAAAGUGAGCACAUGCUGUUGGAAAAAUGGUACUGAUAGACUUGAUCCAUGCAGGGUUGCCACAAACGAUUAAUUUGCAAAAAAAACAAACAAAAGAACAUGCAGUAUCUGUGAAGCACAAUAAAGCAUACUGCAAAU
rnacentral:lncRNA from 1 species